rnacentral:pre_miRNA from 1 species
GAUUUAAACUGAAAAAGUCAUCAACAACAAAGUUGUAUAACUCAUCAAGAUCUAUAACUUCUAUUUUGGUCAUUUCUUCAUUCGACAAAGUUAUUUGUAACAUUGUUCACAAAAUGUACAUAUCUUAUAUAGUUUUAUAAACUAUAGAGAUAUAUAUAUAUAUAUAUAAAUUUUAUGAAAAUGUUACGAUCACUUUGUCGGAUGAAGAAAAUGACCAAGAUAGAAGUUAUAUAGAUCUUGAUGAGUUAUACAACUUUGUUGUUGAUGACUUUUUCAUCUGAAAUC